GACGAACGCCGGCGGCGUGCCUAACACAUGCAAGUUGAGCGACGAACCAGGGCUUGCCCUGGGGCAAAGCAGCGAACGGGUGAGUAACACGUGGGUAACCUGCCUCGAUGACCGGGACAACCCGAGGAAACUCGGGCUAAUACCGGAUGUGCCCUGCCGGCCCAAGCCGGCUUGGGGAAAGGAAGCUUCGGCCUCCGCGUCGAGAGGGGCCCGCGGCCCAUUAGCUAGUUGGUGAGGUAAAGGCUCACCAAGGCAACGAUGGGUAGCUGGUCUGAGAGGACGAUCAGCCACACUGGGACUGGGACACGGCCCAGACUCCUACGGGAGGCAGCAGUGGGGAAUCUUGCGCAAUGCGCGAAAGCGUGACGCAGCAACGCCGCGUGGGGGAAGAAGGCCUUCGGGUUGUAAACCCCUUUCAGGAGGGACGAAGGUGCGGCCGUUAACAGCGGUCCGCACUGACGGUACCUCCACAAGAAGCCCCGGCUAACUACGUGCCAGCCGCCGCAGUAAGAC
rnacentral:rRNA from 1 species